GGUGAGAUGGGUGAGUGGCUGAAACCAGCAGUUUGCUAAACUGCCGAACGGGUAACCGUUCCGCGAGUUCGAAUCUCGCUCUCACCG
rnacentral:tRNA from 1 species